rnacentral:rRNA from 1 species
GAUGAGCGCUGGCGGCGUGCCUAAUACAUGCAAGUCGAGCGGUAAGGCUCCUUCGGGAGUACACGAGCGGCGGACGGCUGAGUAACACGUAGGAACGUACCCCAAAGUGAGGGAUAACUGCUCGAAAGAGUAGCUAAUACCGCAUGUGAUCCACGGAUUAAAGCUUUAUGUGCUUUGGGAACGGCCUGCGUUCGAUUAGCUUGUUGGCGGGGUAAAAGCCCACCAAGGCGACGAUCGAUAGCUGGUCUGAGAGGAUGAUCAGCCAGACUGGGACUGAGACACGGCCCAGACUCCUACGGGAGGCAGCAGUAGGGAAUUUUCCACAAUGGGCGAAAGCCUGAUGGAGCAACGCCGCGUGCAGGAUGGAGGCCUUCGGGUUGUAAACUGCUUUUAUUGGUGACGAUUAUGACGGUAACCAAUGAAUAAGGGUCUGCUAACUACGUGCCAGCAGCCGCGGUAA